AAGCAUCUCGAAAUUCCAGAUGAUUAAGAUCAAACAAUGAAAGCAAAUUAAGGUUUGGUUUUGAUCUGAAGCAAAAAAAAUGGUUGCGUUUUAUAAUUUUCAAGAGCGAACCACAUUUUAAACUGAAGUAAACAUUUAAUAUUUGAAUUAUUAAAUUACAGUUGAUCAACAAGAGUUAAUUAAUCCUGGACUUAUUAACAACACAAUAAAAUUACAAAGUAUCACAAAAUCAGUAAACAAACAACAGGUUAAACCUUGUAAACAAGAUUCAAAAAUUAACGGGUAAAAUUAAAAUGGUAAACAAGAGACUUUGGAUCAAGAUAUGCAAUCCCGAUAGGAUUCAAAUCGAAGGCGAUUGAUGAGUAAAGGAUCAUUUUCAGUUUCAUUAUUAUUUUAACGUAUCUGACCAUCUUUAAUCUUAAUUAUCAAUUGUUUCAAUCAUAAUUGUCAGUAUUAUCAGCAAUAGCUACAGUGAAAGAUCUUUCGUCUGUUUAUUGAAACAUAUUCUUGGAUAAAUCUGGACUAACAUGUUUCUGGAGUAACCAGCUCAUGGCCUUUUUUUUGUUACAUGAAUGAACCUUGAAUGGUUUUAACCAUCUAAUUGAAAUGUCUUAUUAAUUUGGAAACAGGGACCAUGAUAAAAACAAAGGAAUCAGAUGAUUAAUGGAAGCGCAUUUGAUCAUUAGAAAGGAAGAGAAAAGUCAAAGGAAGCCAGGAAAAUGGUUAAUCAUUCAUCUUUUUUAUCUCUAGCCUUCCGGGCUUAAACCUGUCAACAAUCAAAAGUGAUUUGGAAAGUAUAGUUUUGCUGUUUAUAAUGAUUAGUUUGAUCAAGAACAUAUUAUUGUCAAUCUAAUGUCAACUUUACUUUUGACAGUGAAUCAGAUUGACAGAGAUAACUUUUUCUCUUGAAUAAGGAUCUUAGGAGAUGAUUUCAUACUAUUUUGUUAACAUUGAAUUUGUUGGAUAACAAGUAAAUUCUUGGUUCUGGUCCGGCAAUUUAGCUAAUUGUAUAUUAUCAAGUUAGCGUAAUUAUUCACAAUUUGUCAACAUAACGAUGUUUUGCUGUUUUGGCUAACCAUUCAUCAAUCAUAAGUGUGUUAUAAUAAAUUGUCACUUCAAGUUGAA